rnacentral:rRNA from 1 species
GACAGAGGGGGCAAGCGUUGUCCGGAUUUACUGGGCGUACAGCGCGCGCAGGCGGUGGUGUAGGUACCUGGUGACAGUCUCGGGCUCAACUCGAGGGGGUCUGGGUAGACCGCACCGCUGGAGGCAGGGAGAGGGAUGUGGAAUACCCGGUGGAGCGGUGAAAUGCGUAGAUAUCUGGAGGAACACCGGUGGCGAAGGCGGCAUCCUGGACCGGUAUUGACGCUGAGGCGCGAAAGCCAGGGGAGCAAACGGG